CUUGGUCAUUUAGAGGAAGUAAAAGUCGUAACAAGGUUUCCGUAGGUGAACCUGCGGAAGGAUCAUUACAAGUGAGGCUACCGAACGUUGGAAACAGCGGUUAGGAGCUUACACCCACCCGUGUUUACAUACUAUUGUUGCUUUGGCGGGCCGUGGCCUCCACUGCGGGCUCUGCUCGUGUGAGCCCGCCAGAGAACCAAACUCUGAAUGUUAGUGAUGUCUGAGUACUAUCUAAUAGUUAAAACUUUCAACAACGGAUCUCUUGGUUCUGGCAUCGAUGAAGAACGCAGCGAAAUGCGAUAAGUAAUGUGAAUUGCAGAAUUCAGUGAAUCAUCGAAUCUUUGAACGCACAUUGCGCCCUGUGGUAUUCCGCAGGGCAUGCCUGUUCGAGCGUCAUUUAACCACUCACGCCUAGCGUGGUAUUGGGGCACGCGGUCUCCGCGGCCCUCAAAAUCAGUGGCGGCGCCGGUGGGCUCUAAGCGUAGUACAUACUCCCGCUAUAGAGUUCCCCCCGGUGGCUCGCCAGAACCCCCAAUUUUUUACAGGUUGACCUCGGAUCAGGUAGGGAUACCCGCUGAACUUAAGCAUAUCAAUAAGCGGAGGA
rnacentral:rRNA from 1 species